AUUGAACGCUGGCGGCAUGCUUUACACAUGCAAGUCGAACGGGAACAGGGAGCUUGCUCCGCUGACGAGUGGCGAACGGGUGAGUAAUAUAUCGGAACGUACCCAAGAGUGGGGGAUAACGUAGCGAAAGUUACGCUAAUACCGCAUACGAUCUAAGGAUGAAAGCAGGGGACCUUCGGGCCUUGUGCUCCUGGAGCGGCCGAUAUCUGAUUAGCUAGUUGGUGAGGUAAAGGCUCACCAAGGCGACGAUCAGUAGCUGGUCUGAGAGGACGACCAGCCACACUGGAACUGAGACACGGUCCAGACUCCUACGGGAGGCAGCAGUGGGGAAUUUUGGACAAUGGGCGCAAGCCUGAUCCAGCAAUGCCGCGUGAGUGAAGAAGGCCUUCGGGUUGUAAAGCUCUUUUGUCAGGGAAGAAACGGGAUUGGCUAAUAUCCAGUCCUAAUGACGGUACCUGAAGAAUAAGCACCGGCUAACUACGUG
rnacentral:rRNA from 1 species